rnacentral:precursor_RNA from 10 species
CGCUUUAAUACGUCUAUGAAUGCCGUCGGUGGGUUGUGACUGGAGCAAUCUGUUACCUCUGCUUGAAUCAAAUUGCACUAGUCCCGGCCUGCUGACUGCAGAUCCAUCGUGACUGCAGCAGU